GGUUAAGCGACUAAGCGUACACGGUGGAUGCCCUGGCAGUCAGAGGCGAUGAAGGACGUGCUAAUCUGCGAUAAGCGCCGGUAAGGUGAUAUGAACCGUUAUAACCGGCGAUUUCCGAAUGGGGAAACCCAGUGUGAUUCGUCACACUAUCAUUAACUGAAUCCAUAGGUUAAUGAGGCGAACCGGGGGAACUGAAACAUCUAAGUACCCCGAGGAAAAGAAAUCAACCGAGAUUCCCCCAGUAGCGGCGAGCGAACGGGGAGGAGCCCAGAGCCUGAAUCAGCAUGUGUGUUAGUGGAAGCGUCUGGAAAGGCGCGCGAUACAGGGUGACAGCCCCGUACACAAAAGCGCAUGUGCUGUGAGCUCGAUGAGUAGGGCGGGACACGUGGUAUCCUGUCUGAAUAUGGGGGGACCAUCCUCCAAGGCUAAAUACUCCUGACUGACCGAUAGUGAACCAGUACCGUGAGGGAAAGGCGAAAAGAACCCCGGCGAGGGGAGUGAAAAAGAACCUGAAACCGUGUACGUACAAGCAGUGGGAGCCCCACCACCAAAGCAUUCUCUGGUGUUGAAGGCCCUGCAAAGCAGCAUCGCGGUGGCGGAGCGUCGUUUGCGACGCCCAACACACAAAACAAGCGGUGAAUGCUUUGGGGUGGGGUGACUGCGUACCUUUUGUAUAAUGGGUCAGCGACUUAUAUUCUGUAGCAAGGUUAACCGAAUAGGGGAGCCGGAGGGAAACCGAGUCUUAAUUGGGCGUUAAGUUGCAGGGUAUAGACCCGAAACCCGGUGAUCUAGCCAUGGGCAGGUUGAAGGUUGGGUAACACUAACUGGAGGACCGAACCGACUAAUGUUGAAAAAUUAGCGGAUGACCUGUGGCUGGGGGUGAAAGGCCAAUCAAACCGGGAGAUAGCUGGUUCUCCCCGAAAGCUAUUUAGGUAGCGCCUCGUGAAUUCAUCUCCGGGGGUAGAGCACUGUUUCGGCUAGGGGGCCAUCCCGGCUUACCAACCCGAUGCAAACUGCGAAUACCGGAGAAUGUUAUCACGGGAGACACACGGCGGGUGCUAACGUCCGUCGUGAAGAGGGAAACAACCCAGACCGCCAGCUAAGGUCCCAAAGUCAUGGUUAAGUGGGAAACGAUGUGGGAAGGCCCAGACAGCCAGGAUGUUGGCUUAGAAGCAGCCAUCAUUUAAAGAAAGCGUAAUAGCUCACUGGUCGAGUCGGCCUGCGCGGAAGAUGUAACGGGGCUAAACCAUGCACCGAAGCUGCGGCAGCGACGCUGAUGCGUUGUUGGGUAGGGGAGCGUUCUGUAAGCCUGCGAAGGUGACCUGUGAGGGUUGCUGGAGGUAUCAGAAGUGCGAAUGCUGACAUAAGUAACGAUAAAGCGGGUGAAAAGCCCGCUCGCCGGAAGACCAAGGGUUCCUGUCCAACGUUAAUCGGGGCAGGGUGAGUCGACCCCUAAGGCGAGGCCGAAAGGCGUAGUCGAUGGGAAACGGGUUAAUAUUCCCGUACUUGGUGUUACUGCGAAGGGGGGACGGAGAAGGCUAUGUUGGCCGGGCGACGGUUGUCCCGGUUUAAGCGUGUAGGUGUGUGUUCCAGGUAAAUCCGGUUCACUUUAACACUGAGGCGUGAUGACGAGGCACUACGGUGCUGAAGCAACAAAUGCCCUGCUUCCAGGAAAAGCCUCUAAGCAUCAGGUAACAUCAAAUCGUACCCCAAACCGACACAGGUGGUCAGGUAGAGAAUACCAAGGCGCUUGAGAGAACUCGGGUGAAGGAACUAGGCAAAAUGGUGCCGUAACUUCGGGAGAAGGCACGCUGACACGUAGGUGAAGUGAUUUACUCACGGAGCUGAAGUCAGUCGAAGAUACCAGCUGGCUGCAACUGUUUAUUAAAAACACAGCACUGUGCAAACACGAAAGUGGACGUAUACGGUGUGACGCCUGCCCGGUGCCGGAAGGUUAAUUGAUGGGGUCAGCGCAAGCGAAGCUCCUGAUCGAAGCCCCGGUAAACGGCGGCCGUAACUAUAACGGUCCUAAGGUAGCGAAAUUCCUUGUCGGGUAAGUUCCGACCUGCACGAAUGGCGUAAUGAUGGCCAGGCUGUCUCCACCCGAGACUCAGUGAAAUUGAACUCGCUGUGAAGAUGCAGUGUACCCGCGGCAAGACGGAAAGACCCCGUGAACCUUUACUAUAGCUUGACACUGAACAUUGAGCCUUGAUGUGUAGGAUAGGUGGGAGGCUUUGAAGUGUGGACGCCAGUCUGCAUGGAGCCGACCUUGAAAUACCACCCUUUAAUGUUUGAUGUUCUAACGUGGACCCGUAAUCCGGGUUGCGGACAGUGUCUGGUGGGUAGUUUGACUGGGGCGGUCUCCUCCUAAAGAGUAACGGAGGAGCACGAAGGUUGGCUAAUCCUGGUCGGACAUCAGGAGGUUAGUGCAAUGGCAUAAGCCAGCUUGACUGCGAGCGUGACGGCGCGAGCAGGUGCGAAAGCAGGUCAUAGUGAUCCGGUGGUUCUGAAUGGAAGGGCCAUCGCUCAACGGAUAAAAGGUACUCCGGGGAUAACAGGCUGAUACCGCCCAAGAGUUCAUAUCGACGGCGGUGUUUGGCACCUCGAUGUCGGCUCAUCACAUCCUGGGGCUGAAGUAGGUCCCAAGGGUAUGGCUGUUCGCCAUUUAAAGUGGUACGCGAGCUGGGUUUAGAACGUCGUGAGACAGUUCGGUCCCUAUCUGCCGUGGGCGCUGGAGAACUGAGGGGGGCUGCUCCUAGUACGAGAGGACCGGAGUGGACGCAUCACUGGUGUUCGGGUUGUCAUGCCAAUGGCACUGCCCGGUAGCUAAAUGCGGAAGAGAUAAGUGCUGAAAGCAUCUAAGCACGAAACUUGCCCCGAGAUGAGUUCUCCCUGAGACUUUAGGUCUCCUGAAGGAACGUUGAAGACGACGACGUUGAUAGGCCGGGUGUGUAAGCGCAGCGAUGCGUUGAGCUAACCGGUACUAAUGAACCGUGAGGCUUAACCUU
rnacentral:rRNA from 1 species